rnacentral:tRNA from 1 species
GUGGGCGUAGCUCAAUUGGUUAGAGCGUCGGACUGUGGAUCCGAAGGUUGGCGGUUCGAUUCCGCUCGCCCACC